UGUUCGGGUAGUGAGAGAUGUUCUUGAAACUUAAAGGUUUUGGCGGUUUUCUUGUUCUUUUCAGAGGAAUUUGUUCUUUAAUCGAUGUUCCUCGUGCUAUUUUACUUAAUUUGAAGUGGUUUGUAUAUCGCUGUUGAUGAUAUCUCUGUUGUGUGAUAUUAUUUGGUUUGUUCCUGUUAAAUCAAGUCAAGGUGCAGCUUAGUUAAGGUUGAAAUGAGUUACUAUAGGUUAUUGUGGAGAUYGUAGUGGAAGAGUCUUUUGAGAUUGAAUUUGAGAGUAAUUUGGAAGUAAGUAAGUUUUAAUGAAAUAAGUUUAAGAAAAUGU
rnacentral:rRNA from 1 species